UGCAUUGAAUACGAAUUAAAAAAGGAAAUUAGGUUAAUUACAACAACAAAGGAAGAAGAGGAUUAGCGAGUUAGUCUUGCUAUGUAUCUUCAUUAUGGUUAGAGAAGGAACAUAUUUCUAGUUAUAAUGACCAAAGGGAUGAAACAACUUCAAAUGUUGUCCGUCGACAAGUUUUACUAAAUUCUGAAGUUAUUUAAGGCAUGUAUAAAAUGAUUUGAAACAAAAUAUAUAAUACGGGAAAAAAUAAGUUAUAUUGCCACACCCUGUAUAUUGUACAGGGUCGUUUAAGUAAAUCCAAACCAUAUUUAACUACAUCCUUAACUCUAAGGAAAGCCUUUAACUCGGUUAUAUCAAUUUUAAAGUGACAUGUGAGCCUUAGCUUUAAAUUAGUUGCGCAAAUUUUAAUUCAAAACAAGUAUUUACGAUGAAGAAGAUCCGGAGGAACAUCACUAUCGAAUUUGCCUGUGUGGGACACAGGGCAGCGUACAUCGAGAAGAUGCUCAGUGAUAAAAAGAGCACAGUUUACGACUUCUAAAAUUACUGGAAAAGGUGGGGGUCAUAUAUGAGAAAAGUCAACAUGUCCCGGAAUAAUAAAAACACAUUCCCAUAUUCAUAGUAGGGCUGAAACGUUCCUUGAAGUAAUCUCCUGGGACUCCGAUUAACGUUCUUGCAAAGAAAAAAAACCCAAGUAACUCGUACAACAGUCUCCAGACACAAUGAAGGCCACCUGGGCUGCCCACGGAAGAAAAUUGCUGAACGAUUUGAAUUCCCAUGGUAAAUGAAUCAUCUUUUAUUCGGAUGAGAAACAAUGGACUGUCGACAUAUCUCACAACAUCCAGAACGAAAAAUGGUUGACCACAGGUAGAGUUAAUGUCUCCCACGUCUUUAAAACCAUGUUUCCAGCCAGUAUCCUGACCCUAGGUUUCAUUGGGAGCAAAUUAAUUGUCAUACCCUCAUCUUCUUUAAGGCAAAGAAGAGAUUAGUUACCGACAGAUACUGUGAACUCCUGUCUGACCAAGAUAAGGCCAAUGGUGUCAAGUCCCUUUUUCAACAAGACUCGUUCCCCUGUCAUAAGGGCUGCAAGAUCGAAAAAUUGUUUAAAGAAGAGAAGGUGCCAUUUUGGACCCCAAACGUGGCCCUCUAACUCCUCCUAUAUGAAUCCCAUGGAUUAUUUCUUUUUUGGGGUGGAGUUGGAGAGGAAAGUCUCUACCAAUUCAUACAACAGUAUCGACUCCUUGAAGGCAUCCAUCAUUAAGUAAUGGUACAAAGUAUCGCCUGCGGACGUGGUCAAGAGCUGCAAAUCCUUUAGGCCUCGUCUCGAUCGAAUGAUUGGCGAAAAUGGCACACAUAUUCAAUGGUUUUUUUUCUUUUGUAUUAUUAGAACUUGUAAAUAAAAUUUCAAACCUCUA
rnacentral:lncRNA from 1 species